GUCACAGUUCAAGUCUCUCAUGGCACUAUCAUUCCUUGUGGUGGUAUGCUUCCAGUCUGGGGAUUCUAACCCUUGGUGAUUCCAAGACUUGGUGUUCCAAGGAUUGAUGCUCCUGCCAGGGCCAGCCAUUCCUGAACUCUGCCCAGAGUGAUACACAAUCCUCACCUGCGGCCAAGAACACUGGCAAACGUCUAUAAUGCCUGUACCCAGGGACUGAGGCAGAAGGAUUGUUUUGUAGCCAGUCCAGGCUUUAAAAUGAGACCUUGUUUCAAAAAGUAAAAGAAAAAAAAAAUCCUCACCCGUUCCUUCCUUCCUUCGCAAGGCUGGUCUCCAGUUCAGACAUCUGUCUGGCUCACUGUGAUGAGUCCUGAUGCACCUCCUAUUUUCUCUUUCUUCUUAACCUAUGAGCCUGGCUCUAACCACGUUCUGCCCGCUUGGUCUGCACCAGGUCUUUCCCAGCCAAAUCCCCAUGACCAGUCCUUCUUUGUGGUCCAGGAGUCCUCCUUGUCCAGUCAGGACGGAUCUGCUUUUCAUAUCCGCAGAGUUCCCUAUAUGAGGCCACUCCCUGCUGCAACCCCCUUGGCAGACCAGCCUGGCUCAUCUCAAAUACCAGCUCUGCCACAAAAUCCGUUCUCAUUCCUUCUCUAUCCCUGGCAAAAUAAUUGUCCCCUCUUCCUUCUCCAGUGUCUUGCUUUAGUUUUUCUGGGAUUUGUCAUUACAGAGGCUCUAGGUGGGGCUACAUGGACACAUCUGUCUCUCACAGUCCUGGGGGCCAGAAAUCCAAGAUCAAGUGUAGGUACAACAGCCAUGAGAAGCCACCUGUAUGAGCUGAGGUACCUGAGAAUCCUAAUACCCAGAGCAGGGUGGCCCACAGCUGAGGAGUAAUGCUGAACCAGGACCCGUGCAGGAAAAGAUGUCUCCAGUGUGAAAUAACGGCCACUGUGACAAGGACACCAGCAGACAUUGGUGCAGAACUUCUUCCUUCGGGAAAGCGGUCUGAGUUCUCACGGAGAAUGGGGAACGUCACAAAACUCACAGAAAAAGUUACAAGACGCAAUCAAAAACUUGCAGAGGAUGGAUGGACUCUUUGGUGGAGCUGCCUACAGGUUGGGCAGUGGCCCUCUGGAAGAGCAGCCAGUGCUCUUAACCACUGAGCCAUCACUCCAGACAUAGGAUCACAGGAACAAAUUUCGUCCAAAGAACCUCUGAAUGGAUGCAGCUACCGACAGCCCAAAUGUUCACCCUUCACUCUUCUUUGCACACCACCUACCGAUGCUGGUAUCUAAAACACAACGCUUAGGAAUUGUGGGCCAUGUAACUCGGCAGUGGAUACACUUUGCCUAGCUAUCCCAGUAACUGGUCCUUAACAUCUUCAUUCACACACAAGCUUGGUCAGCUCUAAGGGAAUGUAUUGUCCCAGGGCUGGCUGUUUUGCUUCUUGGGGGAUGGCAGCAUGUAGGUCACUGUUUCUACUUUCUCCAAAUAAGCCUCUUUGUCUUUGGUUCUGA